rnacentral:rRNA from 1 species
AUUGAACGCUGGCGGCAGGCCUAACACAUGCAAGUCGAGCGGCUCGGCGGACGGGUGCGUAAUGCCUAGGAAUCUGCCUGGUAGUGGGGGAUAACGUCCGGAAACGGGCGCUAAUACCGCAUCCUAUCAGAUGAGCCUAGGUCGGAUUCGCUAGUGGGUGGGGUAAAGGCCUACCAAGGCCACGAUCCGUAACUGGUCUGAGAGGAUGAUCAGGCACACUGGAACUGAGACACGGUCCAGACUCCUACGGGAGGCAGCAGUGGGGAAUAUUGGACAAUGGGCGAAAGCCUGAUCCAGCCAUGCCGCGUGUGUGAAGAAGGCCUUCGGAUUGUAAAGCACUUUAAGUUGGGAGGCGUUACCAGCAGAAUAAGCACCGGCUAACUCCGUGCCAGCAGCCGCGGUAAUAC